rnacentral:rRNA from 1 species
GACGAACGCUGGCGGCGUGCUUAACACAUGCAAGUCGAACGGAAAGGCCCUGCUUUUGUGGGGUGCUCGAGUGGCGAACGGGUGAGUAACACGUGAGUAACCUGCCCUUGACUUUGGGAUAACUUCAGGAAACUGGGGCUAAUACCGGAUAGGAGCUCCUGCUGCAUGGUGGGGGUUGGAAAGGUUCGGCGGUUGGGGAUGGACGCGCGGCUUAUCAGCUUGUUGGUGGGGUAGUGGCUUACCAAGGCUUUGACGGGUAGCCGGCCUGAGAGGGUGACCGGCCACAUUGGGACUGAGAUACGGCCCAGACUCCUACGGGAGGCAGCAGUGGGGAAUAUUGCACAAUGGGCGGAAGCCUGAUGCAGCAACGCCGCGUGCGGGAUGACGGCCUUCGGGUUGUAAACCGCUUUCGCCUGUGACGAAGCGUGAGUGACGGUAAUGGGUAAAGAAGCACCGGCUAACUACGUG